rnacentral:rRNA from 1 species
AACGCUGGAGGCGUGCUUAACACAUGCAAGUCGUGCGAGAAAGGGACUUCGGUCCUGAGUAGAGCAGCGCACGGGUGAGUAACGCGUGGGUAAUCUCCCUUGGUGAUCGGGAUAACAGCGGGAAACUGCUGCUAAUACCGGAUAAUCUUCAUGUUUAACUUCAUGGGGUAAAGGUGGCCUCUGCUUGCAAGCUACCACAUCAAGAUGAGCCCGCGUCUCAUUAGCUAGUUGGUGGGGUAAUGGCCUACCAAGGCUACGAUGAGUAGCUGGUCUGAGAGGAUGACCAGCCACACUGGGACUGGAACACGGCCCAGACUCCUACGGGAGGCAGCAGUGGGGAAUAUUGCGCAAUGGGCGAAAGCCUGACGCAGCGACGCCUCGUGAGGGAUGAAGGUCUUCGGAUCGUAAACCUCUGUCAAGAGGGAAGAAACCCUUGGAUUCGAAUAGGGUCCUUGGCUGACGGUACCUCAAAAGGAAGCACCGGCUAAUCCGUGCCAGCAGCCGCGGUAAUACGGAGGGUGCAAGCGUUAAUCGGAAUCACUGG